CGCUGAUUUGGUGGCGCAUCGUCUGCAUGUUUCGUCGGCGAAUCAGCUGACUCUUAAGCAAGAAUGCAGUUGAAGACAAUCAUUUGCAGACUUUGUCAUCAGGAAGCAUACAAGAUACAAAAAUGAUAAAUGUAUCAAAAUAAACUGGUGAAUGCAGUACAUAAGGGAAUCAGAUAGCUGCUGAAAU